CGCGUAGGCGGCUUGGCCAGUCACGGGUGAAAGCCCCCGGCUUAACCGGGGAAUUGCCCGUGAUACUACCAAGCUCGAGUACGGGAGAGGGAAGUGGAAUUCCUGGUGUAGCGGUGAAAUGCGUAGAUAUCAGGAGGAACACCGGUGGCGAAGGCGGCUUCCUGGACCGAUACUGACGCUGAGGCGCGAAAGCGUGGGUAGCAAACAGGAUUAGAUACCCUGGUAGUCC
rnacentral:rRNA from 1 species